CAUGUGUUAACUUGGUAGAUCUGUGCUGUUCAAAUCCUGCAUGUUCCAAAGACGGUUCUGGCCUCUAACCCACUCCUGAGAUCAGCAUCUAGACCUGCCUGUUCCUCAGUGCCUAUUGAUGAAAGGGGAGAAAAGCAAGAGCUACAGCAAAGGCCCCGUGUGAGUGGAUCCUUGUGUCAGUCUCUUUGCCGUUUAUUGAACAGUUUCUCGAAAUCUUCAGAGCAGUUGAAGAGCUAUUUCAUCAAGCACUAUGUUUGCAGAAGCAUACAUCAUUACCAUAGUCUGUCUGGGGAGCCGUCCCUUCUGAUUCGUUGCCACCUUAUUCCACUGUGCUAAGGAGGGUGACACAAAGCACAUUCAUCCUUUGCCCUGUGCUCCAGUCCUAUGUUGACAAAAUGUGCUAGAAAUCAGCAAAGCAUUUACAUUCCGUAGAGGAUUUGAAAACUGAAUGUUUCCAGAUUUAUGUUGUUGUUUUUUUUUCUUGAUACAGAGCCUCACACUUGGAUGAUAUUCACCAGACUUUAUUGGAGUAACAUACACAGGUCUGUGGAUUUCCACAAAGUGAAAAUGUUCAGCCUGCCAAUAUUCAAAUCACGAAGCAGAUCAUUGCCCUUGUGCCUUCUGUACCCCUUGCUAACUACUAUCUCUAAGCUUAUUACAUUCUAACUUCCAUCAGCAGAGAUUCAUUCAUUAUAUUUUUAUGAAUAGAUUAAAAAACAAAUGCAUUUUUCUGUCUGAAAGUUUUUCAUUGCACAUGAUAUUUAUCAGAUUUUCCAUGCUGUUGUACAUUACUAGACAUCACUCAAUCUCAAGCUAUACAAGAGUAUACUACUGUUCAAGUACACCACAGUUUAUAAAUUCAUUGUAUCAGUGACUACUUCAGUAGCUUCAAACGUUGUAGCACUAUGUACCAUGCUUUGAUGAACAUUUCUGUAUAUCUUUUCAUGAAAAAGGAUUACUUCCAUUGGACAUUUGCAGACAAGUGAAACUCUGGGUCACGGUGCAUACAUGUAACUUUAUAACAUGAGUCUUACAAAGUAGUCCACCCAGUUCUCACUAUUAACAAGAUUUGAGUGGUUGGUAUUCCAUGUCUAUCAAUGUAGCAUUGAUGUAUAUGAUUAAUCAUCAUAAAUAAAGUUUUACAAUUUGUCCUGA